UACGUAGGGUGCGAGCGUUGUCCGGAAUUAUUGGGCGUAAAGAGCUCGUAGGCGGUGUGUCACGUCGAUCGUGAAAACUUACAGCUUAACUGUGAGCGUGCGGUCGAUACGGGCAUCACUGGAGUUCGGCAGGGGAGACUGGAAUUCCUGGUGUAGCGGCGAAAUGCGCAGAUAUCAGGAGGAACACCGGUGGCGAAGGCGGGUCUCUGGGCCGAUACUGACGCUGAGGAGCGAAAGCGUGGGGAGCAAACAGGA
rnacentral:rRNA from 1 species